GUGGAUAUUGCUGAUCUAUUGAGUCUGAUAAGACACAGCCAGGAGUAGAUAAAGUGAGUAUGGUAGGUUUGAACAGAUUGGAAUACAAAGUAAGACGCCAGGGAUCGCUCAGCAGCCACGCGGAGAGGG